rnacentral:misc_RNA from 1 species
GAAGAGGAGGAUGAGGAGGAUGAGGGCUUUGGCCAAGCUUUAGGACCAGCUGCUUUGGACAGAGGAAGGGGUAGGGGAAUCGUAUGGCCUCCUCUAGUUCCUUUUCGUGGAGCCAGGCCUUUCCCUGGGAUGCGGGGCUUCCCCCCAGGCAUUAUGAGUGAUGGAUUUUCUUAUGGAUCAAUGACACCUGAUGGUUUUCCUAUGCCUGAUCCUUAUGGAAUGGGUGGCCGACCUUUUGGACCAUUUGGCCCUCGAUUCCCUGGUGAUAUGAUGUUUCACAGCCGUCCUCCGGCUGCUGGUGGAUUUGGGAUGAUGAUGGGUCCAGCAAGGCCCCCUUUCAUGGG